ACGCUCGACACCUACGGGAGGCAGCAGGUGGGGGAUAUUGCGCAAUGGGGGAAACCCUGACGCAGCAACGCCGCGUGAAGGACGAAGGUUUUCGGAUUGUAAACUUCUUUUGUCAGGGACGAAGAAAUGACGGUACCUGACGAAUAAGCUCCGGCUAACUACGUGCCAACAGCCGCGGUAAUCUGAGCGGGCUGGCAAGGC
rnacentral:rRNA from 1 species